rnacentral:rRNA from 1 species
AGAGUUUGAUCAUGGCUCAGAACGAACGCUGGCGGCAUGCUUAACACAUGCAAGUCGAACGAUGGCUUCGGCCAUAGUGGCGCACGGGUGAGUAACGCGUGGGAACCUGCCUUCUGGUUCGGAAUAACCACGGGAAACUGUGGCUAAUACCGGAUAAGCCCGCAAGGGGAAAGAUUUAUCGCCAGGAGAGGGGCCCGCGU